ACGGAAGGCAGCAGUGGGGAAUAUUGCACAAUGGGCGGAAGCCUGAUGCAGCGAUGCCGCGUGGAGGAAGAAGGUUUUCGGAUUGUAAACUCCUGAUCUGAGGGACGAUAGUGACGGUACCUCAGGAGAAAGCUCCGGCUAACUACGUGCCAGCAGCCGCGGUAAUACGUAGGGAGCGAGCGUUGUCCGGAAUUACUGGGUGUAAAGGGUGCGCAGGCGGGACGACAAGUCAGAUGUGAAAUGUACGGGCUCAACCCGUGCCCUGCAUUUGAAACUGCCGUUCUUGAGUGAGGUAGAGGUAAGCGGAAUUCCUAGUGUAGCGGUGAAAUGCGUAGAUAUUAGGAGGAACAUCGGUGGCGAAGGCGGCUUACUGGGCCUUUACUGACGCUGAGGCACGAAAGCGUGGGGAGCAAACAGGAUUAGAUACCCUGGUA
rnacentral:rRNA from 1 species